AUGCUUGCAUCUUGCUGACGACCGGCGCACGGGUGCGUAACGCGUAUAGAACCUACCUUAUAUUGGGGGAUAGCCCAGAGAAAUUUGGAUUAAUACCCCAUGGUAUACUUAAGUGGCAUCACUAUAGUAUUAAAGAUUUAUCGAUAUAAGAUGGCUAUGCGUCCUAUUAGCUAGUUGGUAUGGUAACGGCAUACCAAGGCAACGAUAGGUAGGGGUCCUGAGAGGGAGAUCCCCCACACUGGUACUGAGACACGGACCAGACUCCUACGGGAGGCAGCAGUGAGGAAUAUUGGACAAUGGAGGCAACUCUGAUCCAGCCAUGCCGCGUGCAGGAAGACUGCCCUAUGGGUUGUAAACUGCUUUUAUAGAGGAAGAAACCCCCUGACGUGUCAGGGUCUGACGGUACUCUACGAAUAAGGAUCGGCUAACUCCGUGCCAGCAGCCGCGGUAAUACGGAGGAUCCAAGCGUUAUCCGGAAUCAUUGGGUUUAAAGGGUCCGUAGGCGGGCAAUUAAGUCAGAGGUGAAAGUUUGCGGCUCAACCGUAAAAUUGCCUUUGAUACUGGUUGUCUUGAAUUAUUGUGAAGUGGUUAGAAUGUGUAGUGUAGCGGUGAAAUGCAUAGAUAUUACACAGAAUACCGAUUGCGAAGGCAGAUCACUAACAAUUGAUUGACGCUAAGGGACGAAAGCGUGGGUAGCGAACAGGAUUAGAUACCCUGGUAGUCCACGCCGUAAACGAUGGUCACUAGCUGUUUGGUUUUCGGACUGAGUGGCUAAGCGAAAGUGAUAAGUGACCCACCUGGGGAGUACGUUCGCAAGAAUGAAACUCAAAGGAAUUGACGGGGGCCCGCACAAGCGGUGGAGCAUGUGGUUUAAUUCGAUGAUACGCGAGGAACCUUACCAGGGCUUAAAUGUAGUCUGACAGCUGUAGAGAUACAGUUUUCUUCGGACAGAUUA
rnacentral:rRNA from 1 species